rnacentral:rRNA from 1 species
GAUGAACGCUGGCGGCGUGCCUAAUACAUGCAAGUCGAGCGAACAGAUAAGGAGCUUGCUCCUUUGACGUUAGCGGCGGACGGGUGAGUAACACGUGGGUAACCUACCUAUAAGACUGGGAUAACUUCGGGAAACCGGAGCUAAUACCGGAUAACAUUUGGAACCGCAUGGUUCUAAAGUGAAAGAUGGUUUUGCUAUCACUUAUAGAUGGACCCGCGCCGUAUUAGCUAGUUGGUAAGGUAACGGCUUACCAAGGCAACGAUACGUAGCCGACCUGAGAGGGUGAUCGGCCACACUGGAACUGAGACACGGUCCAGACUCCUACGGGAGGCAGCAGUAGGGAAUCUUCCGCAAUGGGCGAAAGCCUGACGGAGCAACGCCGCGUGAGUGAUGAAGGGUUUCGGCUCGUAAAACUCUGUUAUUAGGGAAGAACAAAUGUGUAAGUAACUGUGCACGCCUUGACGGUACCUAAUCAGAAAGCCACGGCUAACUACGUG